rnacentral:rRNA from 1 species
UGGAUCCAGACUUUGAUAUGGCUCAGGAUGAACGCUAGCUACAGGCUUAACACAUGCAAGUCGAGGGGAAACGACAUCGAAAGCUUGCUUUUGAUGGGCGUCGACCGGCGCACGGGUGAGCAACGCGUAUCCAACCUGCCCACCACUUGGGGAUAACCUUGCGAAAGUAAGACUAAUACCCAAUGAUAUCUCUAGAAGACAUCUGAAAGGGAUUAAAGAUUUAUCGGUGAUGGAUGGGGAUGCGUCUGAUUAGCUUGUUGGCGGGGUAACGGCCCACCAAGGCGACGAUCAGUAGGGGUUCUGAGAGGAAGGUCCCCCACAUUGGAACUGAGACACGGUCCAAACUCCUACGGGAGGCAGCAGUGAGGAAUAUUGGUCAAUGGGCGAGAGCCUGAACCAGCCAAGUAGCGUGCAGGAUGACGGCCCUAUGGGUUGUAAACUGCUUUUAUAAGGGAAUAAAGUGAGAGUCGUGACUCUUUUUGCAUGUACCUUAUGAAUAAGGACCGGCUAAUUCCGUGCCAGCAGCCGCGGUAAUACGGAAGGUCCGGGCGUUAUCCGGAUUUAUUGGGUUUAAAGGGAGCGUAGGCCGGAGAUUAAGCGUGUUGUGAAAUGUAGGCGCUCAACGUCUGCACUGCAGCGCGAACUGGUUUCCUUGAGUACGCACAAAGUGGGCGGAAUUCGUGGUGUAGCGGUGAAAUGCUUAGAUAUCACGAAGAACUCCGAUUGCGAAGGCAGCUCACUGGAGCGCAACUGACGCUGAAGCUCGAAAGUGCGGGUAUCGAACAGGAUUAGAUACCCUGGUAGUCCGCACGGUAAACGAUGGAUGCCCGCUGUUGGUCUGAAUAGGUCAGCGGCCAAGCGAAAGCCUUAAGCAUCCCACCUGGGGAGUACGCCGGCAACGGUGCAACUCAAAGGAAUUGACGGA